rnacentral:rRNA from 1 species
AGUCGAGCGGACAGAAGGGAGCUUGCUCCCGGAUGUUAGCGGCGGACGGGUGAGUAACACGUGGGUAACCUGCCUGUAAGACUGGGAUAACUCCGGGAAACCGGAGCUAAUACCGGAUAGUUCCUUGAACCGCAUGGUUCAAGGAUGAAAGACGGUUUCGGCUGUCACUUACAGAUGGACCCGCGGCGCAUUAGCUAGUUGGUGGGGUAAUGGCUCACCAAGGCGACGAUGCGUAGCCGACCUGAGAGGGUGAUCGGCCACACUGGGACUGAGACACGGCCCAGACUCCUACGGGAGGCAGCAGUAGGGAAUCUUCCGCAAUGGACGAAAGUCUGACGGAGCAACGCCGCGUGAGUGAUGAAGGUUUUCGGAUCGUAAAGCUCUGUUGUUAGGGAAGAACAAGUGCGAGAGUAACUGCUCGCACCUUGACGGUACCUAACCAGAAAGCCACGGCUAACUACGUGCCAGCAGCCGCGGUAAUACGUAGGUGGCAAGCGUUGUCCGGAAUUAUUGGGCGUAAAGGGCUCGCAGGCGGUUUCUUAAGUCUGAUGUGAAAGCCCCCGGCUCAACCGGGGAGGGUCAUUGGAAACUGGGAAACUUGAGUGCAGAAGAGGAGAGUGGAAUUCCACGUGUAGCGGUGAAAUGCGUAGAGAUGUGGAGGAACACCAGUGGCGAAGGCGACUCUCUGGUCUGUAACUGACGCUGAGGAGCGAAAGCGUGGGGAGCGAACAGGAUUAGAUACCCUGGUAGUCCACGCCGUAAACGAUGAGUGCUAAGUGUUAGGGGGUUUCCGCCCCUUAGUGCUGCAGCUAACGCAUUAAGCACUCCGCCUGGGGAGUACGGUCGCAAGACUGAAACUCAAAGGAAUUGACGGGGGCCCGCACAAGCGGUGGAGCAUGUGGUUUAAUUCGAAGCAACGCGAAGAACCUUACCAGGUCUUGACAUCCUCUGACAACCCUAGAGAUAGGGCUUUCCCUUCGGGGACAGAGUGACAGGUGGUGCAUGGUUGUCGUCAGCUCGUGUCGUGAGAUGUUGGGUUAAGUCCCGCAACGAGCGCAACCCUUGAUCUUAGUUGCCAGCAUUUAGUUGGGCACUCUAAGGUGACUGCCGGUGACAAACCGGAGGAAGGUGGGGAUGACGUCAAAUCAUCAUGCCCCUUAUGACCUGGGCUACACACGUGCUACAAUGGACAGAACAAAGGGCUGCGAGACCGCAAGGUUUAGCGAAUCCCAUAAAUCUGUUCUCAGUUCGGAUCGCAGUCUGCAACUCGACUGCGUGAAGCUGGAAUCGCU